rnacentral:rRNA from 1 species
GUAGGGAAUCUUCCGCAAUGGACGCAAGUCUGACGGAGCAACGCCGCGUGAGUGAAGAAGGUUUUCGGAUCGUAAAGCUCUGUUGUUAAGGAAGAAUGUUCAUGGUAGUAACUGGCCAUGAAGUGACGGUACUUAACCAGAAAGCCACGGCUAACUACGUGCCAGCAGCCGCGGUAAUACGUAGGUGGCAAGCGUUAUCCGGAAUUAUUGGGCGUAAAGCGCGCGUAGGCGGCAAGAAAAGUCUGAUGUUAAAGCCCCCGGCUCAACCGGGGAGGGUCAUUGGAAACUGUUUUGCUUGAGUACAGAAGAGGAGAGUGGAAUUCCAUGUGUAGCGGUGAAAUGCGCAGAGAUAUGGAGGAACACCAGUGGCGAAGGCGGCUCUCUGGUCUGUAACUGACGCUGAUGUGCGAAAGCGUGGGGAUCAAACAGGAUUAGAAACCCUAGUAGUCC